rnacentral:rRNA from 1 species
GACGAACGCUGGCGGCGUGCCUAACACAUGCAAGUCGAGCGGGGUCCAUCCGGUAGCAAUACCGGGGAAGACCUAGCGGCGAACGGUGAGUAACACGUGAGAAACCUGCCCCCGAAGUCUGGGAUAACCCGAGGAAACUCGAGCUAAUACCGGAUGUCUUCUUCUGAUCGCAUGGUCGGAUGAAGAAAGAUUUAUCGCUUCGGGAGGGUCUCGCGGCCUAUCGGCUAGUUGGCGGGGUAACGGCCCACCAAGGCGUCGACGGGUAGCUGGUCUGAGAGGACGAUCAGCCACACUGGGACUGAGACACGGCCCAGACUCCUACGGGAGGCAGCAGUGGGGAAUAUUGCGCAAUGGGCGAAAGCCUGACGCAGCAACGCCGCGUGCGGGACGAAGGCCUUCGGGUUGUAAACCGCUUUCAGUGGGACGGAAUUCAGACGGUACCCACAGAAGAAGCCCCGGCCAACUACGUGCCAGCAGCCGCGGUAAU